GCGAGUUGCAAAAGAAAAGGCCGCUGUUUUUCUGACCUGAUAAGGCAAACAGUGCGUAAGGUAGUCUUUGCUUAAAAUAAAAGCAAUGAUCAUCGAUUUUCCGGGAGCAGUAGCUGCAAAGUAGCUGACUCGGGCGUGCAGAAGGGGCCCAGCCCAGAGCGCCGCCAGCGUCGGAUCCCGAGCAGGGGGACCUUGGACGACUCGCCGCGAAGCCGCGGGAAGAGGUCGGACGGAGAGCAGCCUUAGGGACGCGAUACCCAGUGUCACCACUGCUCACACUGCGUGGCACAGGGAGAUGCUGCACGGGAUGGCGGACCGUGCCCUGUGCCUGGGCGUGCAGCGGGGGUGCCCAUGAGGACGGAGUCCUCCACGUGACAGGGCGUCUCUCCGAAUGCACACCCGACACAAAGCAACCUUUGACUGUGUGUCGGGUAGAAACGUCCCUGAUGUUCUGAGAACUUAUAAAGCCUCAAACACAGUGGUACAAGUACUGAUUUUCCUGCACCUACCAGAAUUUCUUCCUCCCUCCCUCCCGCUGCGCUCUGGGGAAGAGCCGGUCCACCUUGCAGAACUGUGGGAAAGAUCACCCAAGCUGAGCUCGGUCUCCUGUAACGUCCUGGCCAGGGCUGCACGGUCCCUGAGCCGGGGAGAUCACCGGCUCAGUCGCGCCAUCUCCAUGGGCCACAGUCAUUCUGAGCACCCCAGCACGGAGGUGGAGAUCUGCACUGAACCAGGACAAAAUCCCCAGCAGACCCCUAGGGGAACAAAUCCCUUACUUCGCUGUGCUUCAGCAGAGCUGGAACAGACUAGAAGUUCUACAAAUACUGAAGGAAAUUAAAAGGAAAUCAUGGGAGUAAAAGAGAAUAUGCUGAGUUGGUCCCACACGUCACAGGUCCUAUCCCAUUCCUUCCCGAGCUCCGCACUCAGCUCAGAUGGUGAAGACCACCUGUGGCCUCAUGGUUUCCCGGCUGCUGAGUCAUUGCCUCAUGAAAAGUGUCAUCUAAAAUCCCUGCCGAGCCAGCCGCCUAGACAACCUUCCUCCUGGAAUCAAGGGCAUCUUCCGCCCUUGGCCGAGUCUCCAGAUGAGCUACGGAUGAUCAUGUCAGAGUGUACUCAGACCUCCUGGCUUGUGGGGCUGUCAGGGGUGAUUCAGCCCCGUGCAAAUCCUGAUAAUGGGAGAAUUAUGAAAAUAUAUCCACAGACAGGCAAGGCACACAGGCAGGAGAAUCUUUAACAUAGCACAGCCGUGUGGAUCUCGGUGAACACAAACCACCUGAUGGGUGGGUGCAGGCUCCAGGCUGAGUCAGGCAGGAGAUGUGCGAAACACUUCCUAGGGACCUGUUCCUGUGAUUCGCACAGCGAUCCUAUGCUACAGGACGUUGUCCACAUUUCACACAGGAGUGAACAAGCCCGAAGCACAAAGACACUUGGCCCAAGUGGCACAAAUCAGUGAGGACAAAGCCAGAGGUGCAGCCCAAGUCAUCAGCUAUGGUAGCCAGAGUACUUUAUGCGUGUGCAAGUGUGUGCACGUGCACACAUGCAUGCACACACACACACACACAUUUUACAUGAAUGGGAGAAUGGGAGGGAGCAUUCACCUGAAAAUCACCCAGAGGACAGCAAGGACAAAGGAUGCGGAAAGGGACUCACAAAAUACCAAGGGCUGGACAGAGCAGAAACAGCUUCCAAGGAAGGAAGAGUAAUGAAUCAGUCCUGAGCAAUCAAAGCCAAUGGUGCCUCCCCAAGGCCCCAGCCCCAAGGGUGAAAUACAAAAAGGAGCAGCUGAGUGGUCCAGAGAAAAAAAGGAUGCCAAGAAGGAAAUCUGAAACAGGGAAGGUUUCUCCAAGCACGGCUGUGCAUUCUGCUUGUUUGGUGUGACAAGAGUUCCCCAAAGAGCCAGACCUUAGAAUGUUUGAAAGCCCAAAACUCUACCCAUGGCUCCUGGUAAAGUUGGAAAUACAUAGUGGCUACAUGAGUAAUCUCAGCAGCACUGCUCUCAGCCUUCCCCUCUCAUUUGCUGCCUAUGGCUGUGGUCAGGUCUCUACUUAGAAGCUGUCUCACCCAGUUGCUAACUGCACGCUGCCCUCGCUCCACCCUCUUGUACCGCUGCCUGCUCUGACCUUCACUGGGCUGGAUCCUGUUGAAACCAUUUCUGAGGGCGUUUUUAGGGUUCUAGGAAAACACUUCUUUAAAAAGUCUCCCAGGAAAAUAAGCUUGAACUAAAUGUAACUCCGGCUUCUGUUUAGCUCCCUGUGUGGCUCUUUGGAGCUCAGAACAACUCAACACCAGAACCAUGAUCAUUUCUCUUGGCCCCCGCUUACUUCUUCAUUUUUAUUACACAGUUUCACACGUGCACCAGAGUAGGGGGGAAAGGAACGAUGACAUUUCAGCUACCCAUCACCUAGAUCCAGCAUUCAAAGGUUGCCAACUCAUUUUGGCCACUGUACUCAGGAAAAGAAGGAGGGAGGGAAAGAAAGAAAACUAAAAUGCAUUGCACAAAAUCCAGAGCAUGUCGCCGCUCACGCCCUCUUCCUUUCACUCCUGAACCCACACUGAAACAAUUCGAGCAGAAAUUAUGCAGUCUGCAUUGCCAUUAAGAUUUCAGAGAAAUCAUUAGGAGCUGCCCUAGGAAGGAACCUAUCUCACUGUAACUUUUUAUUUCGAAUGUGAUUCUAAAACAAACUGAUUACUUAUGCCAGGCUCACAUUUUACUCAUUGGGGAUUUUAACCACAUGUAGCAAAUUCCAGUAAGAAGCUUAAAAGUUUCCCAGCUCAAGAACUGCUGGUGGGGAGGCCAGGGGUGGAGGGAGGAGGGACAAAUAGCGCUGGGUGUCUGAAGACUCAAUCUGUGUGCGUUCUGCAUUUGGACAGCUUUGGAGUCGUGUUAGGAUGCACCGAUGCACACGGCUCCCCAGGACCGAAGCCACCGCUAGUGGCUCUUGCAUUGGGAAGAAACACUGGCCUAUCUGUCUGUUGUGAGCUUCUCGACACCUAGCCUGUGACGUCCCUCCCUCCCUCUUUCUCUCUCUCUCUCUACAAGUAAGACCUGAUGGGGAGAAAGGGAAUUUGUGUCACUAAUAUUGCUGGUCCCUUGUCAAAGUUUUGCUUUCUGUCAGCAGGUGAAGGUGAAAAGGACAACUCUGGGCUGUAGACACAAGUUGUAGCUCCAGAUCUAAGCAUGUCAUUGGUUAGCAGAGUUGCCUGUAGCCUCCCAUUGUGGGAUCUGGGAAGCUAAAGAGGUCUCCCCACACACUGCCCACGUCCACGGAGAGCAAACACAGGUUUGGCAAGACAUUGGUCAGGUUGAAAUCUUGGCCAGGAGCGUCUCUGCUUCCACAUGGAACCCUCCCAAGAGCAAAGGCAUAGAGCAGAUGUGCACACAGGCACACAGAAGAAGGCUGGGCACAUAGCUCCUGCACACACUCGCCCCACUAGCAGCUGGGGAGCUGUCUCUUGGGCGUGAAUGCCUGGCAGGCCACUCUUAGCAACUGCUUCGUCAUCUCCUCUCUCAGGCAAGCCAGACAGCCCGAGAUGAAGCAUCUCCUCCAGGACCCCAUAGGUGGUCUGCAUUGCCUGGCACACACUUCAAUUACUUUACCAUCCACAAAGGUGCCAGGGAAGACAUCCCACUCAGGAGAGCUAGUAGCUUGAGUGUUGUCUCUACAUGAUCAAGGAUGUGUGCAGGUCCUUUAAGCACCAAGCCUGAUUCUUAUCAGCUCUGACAUACGGAGAAACAGCAGGUGAUUUCUAACAGUCUAAAGUCAGUGAGACAUGUAAUGAGCAGUUAACACACAGUAGGGCUUCGCAUUUGCCCUCAUGAAUUAAAGGCUAUGCUCUGUGACUGUAGGAUGACACUUGGCUUCUUCUCUGAACUAGAGGGACUAACACCUAUGUUACAACGCUCGCAAGGAUUGAAUACCUUAGCCAUACACCAAGCUCCUGACUUAAGGAAUGUCAUAGUUCUCUCCUUCAGAAAACACUGUUCAUUCCUUCAAACAUCAAGGAAUCUGGGAAGUUUGCCCUUCUGGAAACAACUAGGCAAUUUAGUCCAAAAUAGUUCCCACCAUAGCUUAUUACUCAUUGGAGCAUGAGAACUAUAAAAUUUGGGUCAGUACCACCAGAAAAUUCUCAUGAGUCAGAAGUAUUGCCUAGUUUACAUCUUACAUGAAUAUUUUAGAGACUUUUCCCCCAUAGUUGUUCCUAGUCAUUUAGAAAUCAAAGAAAUCAGUUAAACCAAGUUGAAAAAAUGAAGUCUUUGCUCUGUUUACGUUGCUAAUUAAAUUAAAGUUUCUAGCAGAUCAAGGACGAAUAGCUGAGUUCAACCAAA